ACUCCUACGGGAGGCCAGCAGGUGGGGAAUAUUGCAGCAAUGGGCGUCAAGCCAUGGAAUGCAGCCAUGCCGCGUGUAUGAAGAAGGCCUUCGGGUUGGUAAAGAUACUUUUCAGCAGUGAGGAAGGUGGGUAUGUUAAUAGCAUACUCAUUUGACGUUAGCUGCAGAAGAAGCACCGGCUAACUCCGUGCCAGCAGCCGCGGUAAUACGGAGGGUGCGAGCGUUAAUCGGAAUUACUGGGCGUAAAGCGCAUGCAGGUGGUUUGUUAAGUCAGAUGUGAAAGCCCGGGGCUCAACCUCGGAAUUGCAUUUGAAACUGGCAAACUAGAGUACUGUAGAGGGGGGUAGAAUUUCAGGUGNAGCGGUGAAAUGCGUAGAGAUCUGAAGGAAUACCGGUGGCGAAGGCGGCCCCCCUGGACAGAUACUGACACUCAGAUGCGAAAGCGUGGGGAGCAAACAGAUUAG
rnacentral:rRNA from 1 species